UGCAUGAAGUCGGAAUUGCUAGUAAUCGCGGAUCAGCAUGCCGCGGUGAAUACGUUCCCGGGCCUUGUACACACCGCCCGUCACACCAUGAGAGUCGAUAACACCCGAAGCCUGUGAGCUAACCGCAAGGAGGCAGCAGUCGAAGGUGGGGUUGAUGAUUGGGGUGAAGUCGUAACAAGGUACC
rnacentral:rRNA from 1 species